CAUGAGCUUGCCAAGCUUGUUUCUGACCUAGAAAAGCUGUCUCUCAACUUACUACAUAACUCUUCAGUGGCCUGUAUGAAAUGAUGUUUAAUGAAGCUGGCAGAGAGAGUAAUGAAAGCCCCAAGGGUUUUGUUACAUUAGAGCUUGCACAGCAUGACUCCCCUGGAAAUAUUUUCUAAAAUUGGGCUAUAAAACCAAGGAGAGAUCUGGCUAUUUAGCAGGGAAAGAAGCAUUUCUGAGGACUUCCCUUUCAAUUUUAUAGAGAUUCAUGAUCAUGGGGAAAAAAAAAUGGUGGGGAACCAUUAGGUCUUGCAUGUUUAGAAGGCUGCAGGAAGAAAGAGAAUGGGAAAUGUUGCAUGCUCUGUUCAUUCUGCAUGGCUAACGGACAGAAGUACUCCAGGUCUUCUACUGUACAUUUCAUUUUCUUCCUCAACAGGGUCCUUAAUGCCCCCAAAUUAUUACAAAAAGAAAACAACACCCAAACCCUAAAUACUUGUCUUUCAUUCAAGGAACUGCUUCCAGAGCUGUAUUAGGAAUGCCCAAAGUACACCAAAACUGAAAUCCACUUCAGGAAAAGAACAGUGUCUUCCCCUCUUGCCUCUGGUCUUUCACUGUGCAGUGUAGAUUUGACACAGACACAAAGCUUUGCUUAAACUCACAAAAGUUAAGGCCAAACGUGGAUAUGGCAAAUCAGUUUGUUGAGAAAGCUGAUUGAAUAGCUCUUGUUAAUUACUGAUCUAUCACAUGAGGUACUGAGAAUAUGAAUAAUUGUGCAAAAUUAAUUGAAGGAUUUUAAAAACAAGUUUCAAAACCAACUCAGAAUAUGUAUAAACUGAUGUAGAGUCACACACACCAGAGAAAUACAUAUCAGUGGAAAAUACUAUAUAUACUGAAUAUACUGAACUAUAGUGAGUAUCUGAACUUGAAAAUAACAGGAAUUAGGAACAAUACUUUAUAGGUUGGUAAGAACAUGCAAAGAAGGUCUCGUUUCCCAUGCUAAAAAUAACAAUGAGCAUUUGGUGGUGGUGGACUGAUUCUGACUGGAGCCACUUGUUUGUUUCUGGGCAUUAAUUUCAAGCAGAAGUAAUGUGAUGCUCAAGGCAAGCAGGGAGAUAUGGAAAGACCGCAGAAGGGAUUGAGAUGAACUCUUUUUCAAGGUGACGAGGAAUGAGAGUAAGUGGAAAGAGAUGGACACCAAGGGUCUGGAAGCAGAAGCAAAUGAGGUAGGCUAAAGUCGGCCAAGGAUGGGUAGGUCAAGAGCAGGUGGGAACUUGCACAGCUGGGUGCUACCUGCGUAUCAGUCAUUCAGUGAGCAAACUGCUGAUAAGGGCAGCUGAUGGGAGGCCAGGAUUCACAGGAACAGUUGCCAAGUCAUCAGCAAUGCCAUCUAUCAAGCGUGCCUGCUAAAAUGACACUUAAUCCCUGAUGUUGAAUAUACAUUAAGACUCGGUGCCAGCUCCCUCUAACAAGUCCUGCUAAUAUUAGAUUGACACCGAGUCCACAAGGCAGGGCUUCCCCAGCAUUCAUGACACUGCUUCCAUCCCCUAAAGGUCUUCUGUGCUGACAGAAGAGGCAAUGAAGAAGGAAGAAGUCACAGUGGUCUGCUCAGUGGCUUCACAUUUUGCAGUGAUAACAGAAGAACCAGCAUACUGCAAGGGCUUUAGUGUGGGAAACAGCACUGCCUAUUGGAAAAAUGAGGCUUGCAAACAAAUGCAAAAAUCCUGCUCUGAGCGACUUCCUCUCUCCAGUGAAAACAGAGAGACCCUGGGUAACCUAUUGACACUCAGUACUUUUAAAAGGAUGGUCAGCCCUAUUUUAAAAGUUGUCAGUCCCUCAAAAAUCAUCCCCAAGAUUUUUAUUUUUGUCACUACAAGAACGUGCUAAAGAUCAAGAAUGUGGAACUAUGACACUGCACAGCAUGGUACUGGCUGGAGAAUGACUUCUUGUUAUGUGAGCCUGAGAGACGAAAACACAAUUGUGAUGACACCCAUCUCCAAAAGGCUUUCAUUUCAUGUAUUCAAGGCAGGUGAACUGUUAGGUCACAGCCUGAACUGGUGAUUGAGCACCUGGUGAAGGGGUGCACCAGCACUGGGAACACAGGUGCAAGUAAUUCACCCAUGAUACCAGAAUCCCACUUAAGGGCUGGAAGCCAUAAGGGAAACACCUCUGCUUGGAGACUGCUUUCUUCUGGGUGUUUUCUAGUGAGCCCUUAUCUUCAGACUGGGGUAUGUUGAUCUUUUCUGAGAAGGAAACCCUGGCUUUAUCCCAGAAAGCAAAUCUGAUGACUGGAAGGCCACUGAGAACUGAGCAGAUUGAGACUUCAUGCAUCUCUGCCGUGGGGAUGAGACUGCUGGGAAACUUUAAGCAUGGUCUUCAGCUUUCUGCCAGGGAGAAUUUCUUGUGGGAUAAAGAGGAGGAAUCAUCACCCAGAUUUGAGGCAGCUGCUUGUUCUCCUGCCCUGGAGCAAUGUUCCUACCCCAGGACGUGUCCCAGCCCAGUGUGAGCUGCAUGGCAUGCAAUGCACAUGCUGUAAGUGAUACUAAGAGAUGUCAUUUUCCAUGAAGGAAAUCAUAGUAAAAUGUAUGACAGUAGAACUGUAAAAAUCCUCAAGAGUAUCACAACUUCAAACAGCCAGAGCAUGAAAGAGACAAAAAGUCACCCUCAUUUGCAUAACUAUUUCAUUACUGCGCGACAGCAUCAUUCGUUUAACAGUAACAAUGAG